CAGUCGCCGCGGGAAUACAGAGGGUGCGAGCGUUAAUCGGAUUUACUGGGCGUAAAGCGUGCGUAGGCGGCUUCUUAAGUCGGAUGUGAAAUCCCUGAGCUUAACUUAGGAAUUGCAUUCGAUACUGGGAAGCUAGAGUAUGGGAGAGGAUGGUAGAAUUCCAGGUGUAGCGGUGAAAUGCGUAGAGAUCUGGAGGAAUACCGAUGGCGAAGGCAGCCAUCUGGCCUAAUACUGACGAUGAGGUACGAAAGCAUGGGGAGCAAACAGGAUUAGAUACCCCUGUAGUCCCUGUCUCUUAUAA
rnacentral:rRNA from 1 species